AAUCAGAAUUGUUAAAAUAAAACAGAUUCCCAACACUCGAACUGACGCAUUAGCCUUUUUGUAGGGGAGUAACUUUGAUUGGUUUACAGCAAGAUAUUCAACAUUCAGGCAUAAAAUAUAGGAA